UACCAGCACCCCGAGUGGUCGGGACGUUUAUUGGGCCUAAAGCAUCCGUAGCCGGUUCUACAAGUCUUCCGUUAAAUCCACCUGCUUAACAGAUGGGCUGCGGAAGAUACUAUAGAGCUAGGAGGCGGGAGAGGCAAGCGGUACUCGAUGGGUAGGGGUAAAAUCUGUUGAUCCAUUGAAGACCACCAGUGGCGAAGGCGGCUUGCCAGAACGCGCUCGACGGUGAGGGAUGAAAGCUGGGGGAGCAAACCGG
rnacentral:rRNA from 1 species